UACGUAGGGUGCGAGCGUUGUCCGGAAUUAUUGGGCGUAAAGAGCUCGUAGGCGGUGUGUCACGUCGAUCGUGAAAACUUACAGCUUAACUGUGAGCGUGCGGUCGAUACGGGCAUCACUUGAGUUCGGCAGGGGAGACUGGAAUUCCUGGUGUAGCGGUGAAAUGCGCAGAUAUCAGGAGGAACACCGGUGGCGAAGGCGGGUCUCUGGGCCGAUACUGACGCUGAGGAGCGAAAGCAUGGGUAGCGAACAGG
rnacentral:rRNA from 1 species